rnacentral:rRNA from 1 species
UACGUAGGGACCGAGCGUUGUCCGGAUUCAUUGGGCGUAAAGAGCUCGUAGGCGGCCACUCAAGUCGAAUGUGAAACCUCGAGGCUUAACCUCGAGCCUGCAUUCGAUACUGGGCGGCUAGAGUCUGGUAGGGGGAUCUGGAAUUCCUGGUGUAGCGGUGGAAUGCGCAGAUAUCAGGAGGAACACCGGUGGCGAAGGCGGCUUCCUGGACCGACACUGACGCUGAGGCGCGAAAGCUAGGGGAGCAAACGGG